rnacentral:rRNA from 1 species
AACCUUCGGGAGGGCGUUUACCACGGUGUGGUUCAUGACUGGGGUGAAGUCGUAACAAGGUAGCCCUAGGGGAACCUGGGGCUGGAUCACCUCCUUACUAUACGAUGAU